AAUGGAGGAAACUCUGAUCCAGCCAUGCCGCGUGAUAGAUGAAGGCCCUCUGGGUUGUAAAUAUCUUUUAUCUGGGAAGAAACUCCUCUAUUCUUAGAGGCCUGACGGUACCAGAGGAAUAAGCACCGGCUAACUCCGUGCCAGCAGCCGCGGUAAUACGGAGGGUGCAAGCGUUAUCCGGAUUCACUGGGUUUAAAGGGUGCGUAGGCGGGUUGAUAAGUCAGUGGUGAAAGCUCCGAGCUUAACUUGGAAACUGCCAUUGAUACUGUCAGUCUUGAAUGUCGUAGAGGUAAGCGGAAUGUUGCAUGUAGCGGUGAAAUGCUUAGAUAUGUUACAGAACACCAAUUGCGAAGGCAGCUUACUAUGCGAUGAUUGACGCUGAGGCACGAAAGCGUGGGGAGCAAA
rnacentral:rRNA from 1 species